rnacentral:rRNA from 1 species
AGCACGGGAGCAAUCCUGGUGGCGAGUGGCGAACGGGUGAGUAAUAUAUCGGAACGUGCCCAGUCGUGGGGGAUAACGUAGCGAAAGCUACGCUAAUACCGCAUACGAUCUAUGGAUGAAAGCGGGGGAUCGCAAGACCUCGCGCGAUUGGAGCGGCCGAUAUCAGAUUAGGUAGUUGGGUGAGGUAAAGGCUCACCAAGCCGACGAUCUGUAGCUGGUCUGAAAGGACGACCAGCCACACUGGGACUGAGACACGGCCCAGACUCCUACGGGAGGCAGCAGUGGGAAUUUGGACAAUGGGCGCAAGCCUGAUCCAGCAAUGCCGCGUGCAGGAUGAAGGCCUUCGGGUUGUAAACUGCUUUUGUACGGAACGAAACGGUGAGCUCUAAUACAGUUUGCUAAUGACGGUACCGUAAGAAUAAGCACCGGCUAACUACGUG